rnacentral:misc_RNA from 1 species
GAUGAAGAACGUAGCGAAAUGCGAUAAGUAAUGUGAAUUGCAGAAUUCAGUGAAUCAUCGAAUCUUUGAACGCACCUUGCACCCUUUGGCAUUCCGAAGGGUAUGCUCGUUUGAGUGUCAUUGUACUCUCACUCUCCCGAUGCUUUUGGAUCGGGAGUGGUGGACUUGGGUGUUGCUGCUUUGCUGUGGCUCGCCUCAAAUGGAGUAGUGCAACUCUUGGUUGGACAUAGUACGGCGUGAUAAGUGUCUUCGCCGGCGCCUCAUUAUAGAGGGUGGCCGAUCGGGAGCUCUGUGCUUCAAAACGUCUUCGGACAACAUCUGACAACUUGACCUCAAAUCGAGUAGGACUACCCGCUGAACUUAAGCAUAUCAAUAAGCGGAGGA